rnacentral:rRNA from 1 species
UACGUAGGUGGCAAGCGUUGUUCGGAAUUAUUGGGCGUAAAGGGCGCGUAGGCGGUUUGUUAAGUCGGCUGUGAAAGCCCCCGGGCUCAACCUGGGAAUGGCCGUUGAAACUGGCGAACUGGAGUGUGGCAGAGGGGGGGGUGGAAUUCCGCGUGUAGCAGUGAAAAUGCGUAGAGAUGCGGAGGAACACCGAUGGCGAAGGCAGCCCCCCCUGGGCUGACACUGACGCUCAUGCACAAAAGCGUGGGGGAGCAAACAGG